rnacentral:rRNA from 1 species
AUUGAACGCUGGCGGCAGGCCUAACACAUGCAAGUCGAACGGUAACAGGAAGCAGCUUGCUGCUUUGCUGACGAGUGGCGGACGGGUGAGUAAUGUCUGGGAAACUGCCCGAUGGAGGGGGAUAACUACUGGAAACGGUAGCUAAUACCGCAUAACGUCGCAAGACCAAAGAGGGGGACCUUAGGGCCUCUUGCCAUCGGAUGUGCCCAGAUGGGAUUAGCUAGUAGGUGGGGUAACGGCUCACCUAGGCGACGAUCCCUAGCUGGUCUGAGAGGAUGACCAGCCACACUGGAACUGAGACACGGUCCAGACUCCUACGGGAGGCAGCAGUGGGGAAUAUUGCACAAUGGGCGCAAGCCUGAUGCAGCCAUGCCGCGUGUAUGAAGAAGGCCUUCGGGUUGUAAAGUACUUUCAGCGGGGAGGAAGGGAGUAAAGUUAAUACCUUUGCUCAUUGACGUUACCCACAGAAGAAGCACCGGCUAACUCCGUG